AACGUAGGAGACAAACGUUAUCCGGAGUUACUGGGCGUAAAGGGCGUGUAGGUGGUUUCGUAAGUCUGGCGUGAAAUUUUUCGGCUUAACCGGGAAAGGUCGUCGGAUACUGCGGAGCUAGAGGACGGUAGAGGCGUGUGGAAUUCCGGGUGUAGUGGUGAAAUGCGUAGAGAUCCGGAGGAACACCAGUGGCGAAGGCGACACGCUGGGCCGUACCUGACACUGAUGCGCGACAGCGUGGGGAGCAAACAGG
rnacentral:rRNA from 1 species